UUGACAGCGGCUGAGAUUGAUCUUGAUAGCAAAUAAUUAAAUUAUAAGGAGUAGUAUUAAGAAAAAUCAAAUCAACAGCUUGAAGCAUGCUCUAGCUGAAAGGAAAAAAAAGAAUAGCUAAGUAGACCUUUUUGCAUUAAACUUCCAUGUGCCAUCAUGCAUGCAUUUUCUGAUGAUUAAUUGUAGAACGUACACUAUCAGUACUAGCCGGCUAGUAUACUUGUCCUCCCCUAAACGGCAAAUAGAAUUCCACUUACAUUCUCCACUUCUUCCCUACUACCUCCAUC
rnacentral:lncRNA from 1 species